rnacentral:lncRNA from 1 species
UUGGGGAAGCAAUAUCUCUGCUAAAUUAUCCAGAAACCAUGUCCAAUUGUUUUCUUUUUCAGAGUCCACAAUGCCAAAAGCUAGCGGGAAAAAUCUUGAGCCAUGUGUUGAGGAAGAAGAACAUGUUAGAGAAAAAUCUGUUAAGGAUGAAUACAUAAGAACAAGUUAUAAUAAAGGAUGGACACAAUAUGUAUAAAGUUAUAAAACAAUACUUUCUCAUAUAUUAUUGUUUGGGACCCUAUUAAACUACCUAACAUGGAGCAAAAUUAACAAAAUGAUCAAUUUUGUCAACAUCAUGGAUAAACAUUUAAACUACCUAUCAAUGUGGAAAAAAAAUUAUUAGCUUUCAUGCAGUCUAUAAUAUAAGUAGAUGUCUAAAUCUUACCUUGAUUACCAUU